rnacentral:lncRNA from 1 species
CUCGCUCUCGUUCCACGGCAGACCCAGCCGAUUGGCGAUGAUCUUCUGCAUAUCGACCACGUUGAGCGUCUCGGAGUUGGCAACCUCGAUCAUGAUCACCACAUGGUAAUCGCGGGUAUUCUCCUUGAGCUCGUUGUUGAGCGUUUUGAGGAGCGUCGUCUUGCCCAUGCCCCCUAGCCCGUGGACGCCGAUGAUGCUCUUCUCCGCGUCGUCAAACCGGGAUAGGAGCUGGCUUAGGGCCGACUCCAUCCCGAUGGUCUGCGUUUCAAACGGCAGUUCCUCCACCGGCUCCGGUGGCGGCUCGUGGGUGAAGGGGGGAGUGAAUGCAUCGCCAUCUGACUUCAGCUUGUUCACGUCCUGCAGAUUCUGGACGACUUUCCUGGCGACUCGGUGACGGUGGAGCAGAUCCAUGUCGCAGCCACACAGGCAGGCGCAUCUCUUUGGUUCCUCGUGCUCCUGGUCGGCGUCGCAUUCCCGGAGUAUCUCCUCGACCUUCUUCUGCCACCGUCUGACAUCAGGAUUGCAGAUCCGCUG